GUAUUCUGUCUGGCUUCUAAUCGUCCUUUACUUGGACAA
rnacentral:rRNA from 1 species